rnacentral:rRNA from 1 species
AUUGAACGCUGGCGGCAUGCUUUACACAUGCAAGUCGAACGGCAGCGCGGGCUUCGGCCUGGCGGCGAGUGGCGAACGGGUGAGUAAUACAUCAGAACGUGCCCAGUAGUGGGGGAUAGCUCGGCGAAAGCCGGAUUAAUACCGCAUACGACCUGAGGGUGAAAGCGGGGGAUCUUCGGACCUCGCGCUAUUGGAGCGGCCGAUGGCAGAUUAGCUAGUUGGUGGGGUAAAGGCCUACCAAGGCGACGACCUGUAGCUGGUCUGAGAGGACGACCAGCCACACUGGGACUGAGACACGGCCCAGACUCCUACGGGAGGCAGCAGUGGGGAAUUUUGGACAAUGGGCGAAAGCCUGAUCCAGCAAUGCCGCGUGUGUGAUGAAGGCCUUCGGGUUGUAAAGCACUUUUGGCGGGAACGAAAAGGACUGUGCCAAUACCACGGUUCGAUGACGGUACCCGCAGAAUAAGCACCGGCUAACUACG